rnacentral:misc_RNA from 1 species
AACGCACAUUGCGCCCGCUGGCAUUCCAGCGGGCAUGCCUGUUCGAGCGUCAUUUCGACCACUUAAGCCCUUUGUUGCUUAGCGUUGGGAGCCUACCGCGGGCGGCCUCGGCCGCUGCGGUCGCUCCCCAAAGUCAGUGGCGGAGCCGGGUUCGUGCUCUAGGCGUAGUAGAAUCUUCCAUCUCGCCUGCAGCCGGGACCGGUCCCCUGCCGUAAAACACCCCACUUCUUUUAUAAUGGUUGACCUCGGAUCAGGUAGGAAUACCCGCUGAACUUAA